CCUACGGGAGGCAGCAGUGAGGAAUAUUGGUCAAUGGGCUUACGCCUGAACCAGCCAAGUCGCGUGAGGGAAGACUGCCCUAUGGGUUGUAAACCUCUUUUGUCAGGGAGCAACGCCGGCUACGUGUAGCCGGUCUGAGAGUACCUGAUGAAAAAGCAUCGGCUAACUCCGUGCCAGCAGCCGCGGUAAUACGGAGGAUGCGAGCGUUAUCCGGAUUGAUUGGUUUUAAAGGGUGCGUAGGCGGAAUGCCAAGUCAGCGGUAAAAUCGCGGGGCUCAACCUCGCUCCGCCGUUGAAACUGGCGUUCUUGAGUGGGCGAGAAGUAUGCGGAAUGCGUGGUGUAGCGGUGAAAUGCAUAGAUAUCACGCAGAACUCCGAUUGCGAAGGCAGCAUACCGGCGCCCAACUGACGCUGAAGCACGAAAGCGUGGGUAUCGAACAGGAUUAGAUACCCGGGUAGUC
rnacentral:rRNA from 1 species